AUUUCGUGUGUCGGCGCUCCUCGCUGUUCUGACCCUGUAAUCUCUGCCCUGGCCAGCCCUGUUGGCCUUCUGUUCGAGUGUUAGCUACUCACGACUAUUAUGAGAAUGAUGACCAGCAGCACCACGGAAAACGAACUGAGCCCUGCACCCAUGACUUUGGCACUCCUUGCGGCACAAGUGCUUUAUGACAACUGACAAGCUAUCGAAACCCGCCGAUUUGGCAGCCCCAACUCGAUUGGCCAUUAUCCAUAUCUUAUCAUCGUAUUACCGCUUUUCGUAACGCCAUCGAAGCGUACUUACCUGUGCGGGAUCGCCUUCUUGCCGCCGUACAAACAACCUGUAAUCGAAAUUUGUAUUCCAGCUACCGAACUAAUCUCGCCAUUCAACUCACCUUGAUGAAAGUACUUGUGGCCAGGAAGAGGAACAUCAUGGUAAAGAAAAGGACUGCCGUCAUCUUGUCCCAAUUUUGUGCCAAUUUUGAUGAGUGCGGAAAGCCAACUGAAAGCACAUUCUGCAGGUCGUACUCCAGUACUCCUCCACGGAGUACUCCAGUUUCCCAAUGGAAGGUAGUCACACUGCCUAAUCAGUCUGCUUGAACGACAGAUUAAUGCUUAUCGGUCAAAAUAAUAAUAAUAGUAGUAAUAAUAUGUUAAGGCCGAUCUGGGAUUGCCCUACUGCUAUACAAUUUAAUAGUUAAAGCAAUAUUGUAUAUAUUA